GGGUUUCUAGCUCAGAGGAAGAGCAUUUGCCUGCAGGUCAAGAGGUCCAUGGUGCAAAUUUAGUGCCUCUU
rnacentral:tRNA from 1 species